GUCGAGAAUCUUUCACAAUGGGGGCAACCCUGAUGGAGCGACGCCGCGUGGAGGAUAAGGUCUUCGGAUUGUAAACUCCUGUCAUGCGUGAACAAGGUUGCUUGGUUAAUACCUGGGCAAAUUGAUGGUAACGCAAGAGGAAGAGACGGCUAACUCUGUGCCAGCAGCCGCGGUAAUACAGAGGUCUCAAGCGUUGUUCGGAAUCACUGGGCGUAAAGGGUGCGUAGGUGGCGUGGUAAGUCAGAUGUGAAAGCCCGGGGCUCAACCUCGGAACUGCAUCCGAUACUGCCAUGCUAGAGUGCUGGAGAGGUGACUAGAAUUCUCGGUGUAGCAGUGAAAUGCGUAGAUAUCGAGAGGAAUACCAAAGGCGUAGGCAGGUCACUGGACAGUUACUGACACUGAGGCACGAAGGCCAGGGGAGCGAACGGGAUUAGAAACCCUUGUAGUCC
rnacentral:rRNA from 1 species